rnacentral:misc_RNA from 1 species
GAUGAAGAACGCAGCGAAAUGCGAUAAGUAAUGUGAAUUGCAGAAUUCAGUGAAUCAUCGAAUCUUUGAACGCACAUUGCGCCCGCCAGUAUUAUGGCGGGCAUGCCUGUUCGAGCGUCAUUUCAACCAUCAAGCCCCCGGCUUGUGUUGGGGACCUGCGGCUGCCGCAGGCCCUGAAAAGCAGUGGCGGGCUCGCUGUCACACCGAGCGUAGUAGCAUACAUCUCGCUCUGGGCGUGCUGCGGGUUCCGGCCGUUAAACCACCUUCAUAACCCAAGGUUGACCUCGGAUCAGGUAGGAAGACCCGCUGAACUUAAGCAUACAAUAAGCGGAGGA